GAUGAACGCUGGCGGCGUGCCUAAUACAUGCAAGUCGAGCGAAGCGGGGACGGGUGAGUAACACGUGGAUAAACUCCUAUAAGAAUGGGAUACAUUCGGGAAACCGGAGAUAAACAGGCUACUUAGGUCUGGAUCUGCGUUGCAUUAGCUAGUUGGUAAGGUAACGGCGUACCAAGGCAACGAUGCAUAGCCGACCUGGGAGGGUGAGCGGACAGAAUGGAACUGAGACACGGUCCAGACCCCUACGGGAGGCAGCAGUAGGGAAUCUUCCGCAAUGGGCGAAAGCCGGACGGAGCAACGCCGCGUGAGUGAUGAAGGUUUUCGGAUCGUAAAACUCUGUUAUUAGGGAAGCGGUACCUAAUCAGAAAGCCACGGCUAACUACGUGCCAGCCGCCGCGGUAAUAC
rnacentral:rRNA from 1 species